rnacentral:rRNA from 1 species
UACGUAGGGUGCAAGCGUUAAUCGGAAUUACUGGGCGUAAAGCGUGCGCAGGCGGCUUUGCAAGACAGAUGUGAAAUCCCCCGGGCUUAACCUGGGAACUGCAUUUGUGACUGCAUGGCUGGAGUGCGGCAGAGGGGGAUGGAAUUCCGCGUGUAGCAGUGAAAUGCGUAGAUAUGCGGAGGAACACCGAUGGCGAAGGCAAUCCC